AACGCUAGCUACAGGCUUAACACAUGCAAGUCGAGGGGAAACGAUAUUGGAAGCUUGCUUCCGAUAGGCGUCGACCGGCGCACGGGUGAGUAACGCGUAUCCAACCUGCCCAUCACUUGGGAAUAACCUUGCGAAAGUAAGACUAAUGCCCAAUGACAUUUAUAGAAGGCAUCCGAAAUGAAUUAAAGAUUUAUCGGUGAUGGAUGGGGAUGCGUCUGAUUAGCUUGUUGGCGGGGUAACGGCCCACCAAGGCGACGAUCAGUAGGGGUUCUGAGAGGAAGGUCCCCCACGUUGGAACUGAGACACGGUCCAAACUCCUACGGGAGGCAGCAGUGAGGAAUAUUGGUCAAUGGGCGAGAGCCUGAACCAGCCAAGUAGCGUGCAGGAAGACGGCCCUAUGGGUUGUAAACUGCUUUUAUAGGGGAAUAAAGUGAGCCACGUGUGGUUUUUUGCAUGUACCCUAUGAAUAAGGACCGGCUAAUUCCGUGCCAGCAGCCGCGGUAAUACGGAAGGUCCGGGCGUUAUCCGGAUUUAUUGGGUUUAAAGGGAGCGUAGGCCGGAGAUUAAGCGUGUUGUGAAAUGUAGACGCUCAACGUCUGCACUGCAGCGCGAACUGGUUUCCUUGAGUACGCAUAAAGUGGGCGGAGUUCGUGGUGUAGCGGUGAAAUGCUUAGAUAUCACGAAGAACUCCGAUUG
rnacentral:rRNA from 1 species